rnacentral:rRNA from 1 species
GAUGAACGCUGGCGGCGUGCUUAACACAUGCAAGUCGAACGAUGAAGCCCAGCUUGCUGGGUGGAUUAGUGGCGAACGGGUGAGUAACACGUGAGUAACCCGCCCUUAACUCUGGGAUAAGCCUGGGAAACUGGGUCUAAUACCGGAUAGGAGCGUCCACCGCAUGGUGGGUGUUGGAAAGAUUUAUCGGUUUUGGAUGGACUCGCGGCCUAUCAGCUUGUUGGUGAGGUAAUGGCUCACCAAGGCGACGACGGGUAGCCGGCCUGAGAGGGUGACCGGCCACACUGGGACUGAGACACGGCCCAGACUCCUACGGGAGGCAGCAGUGGGGAAUAUUGCACAAUGGGCGCAAGCCUGAUGCAGCGACGCCGCGUGAGGGAUGACGGCCUUCGGGUUGUAAACCUCUUUCAGUAGGGAAGAAGCGAAAGUGACGGUACCUGCAGAAGAAGCACCGGCUAACUACGUG